GGGUCACGUGUGCAGCCUGGAUGGUAGGGCAAGGACAGCAGCAGCUGCAAAGAAAACCCAUUUUUCAGAUUUCAGGGACAUGGUAUAUCAAGGCCAUUGCAGCAAAAAAGGGCAUUUUAGGGAAGAACGUGUCCCCCGUCAUACUCUCAUUGCUGAGCAGCGGUAACAUACAGGCCUCCUUCACGAAGAGGUGAGCAUCUGCCCAGAUCCACCGUGCUCCCUCUGUCCCAGGCCAGUCAGGGGCCACAGAGCCGGGGUCCUUCUGCUCUCUCACUGGCGUGGGGUGCCGCUAAAUGUCCCCUAACUGGAGGGGAAGGGCUCCCAGGGGCAGCUCAGCUGGGAGGAGGGGGCAGUGGACCUCUGGCAGGGUUGGGGUUCCUAUGUUGCUUCCAGGUCUGGGGUGGGGAGGUCCCGGCACGUCUCCCAAAGCAGAGAUAGACGCUAGGCCACACCCUGCCCACCUGAUUUCUGCUUUCCAGGAGCAAUGGUCAGUGCCACAAAAUAGACAUGAUUCUGGAGAAAACUAGGGUGCCUGGCAGAUACAGAACCUGUGAGUUCCGGCUGGGGCCCUGCACUUCCUACACAUGGAGGGCUCCUCUGUGAGGGACCACCGCCUGUUUUUCUCUGAAUUGCAAUUUGAGGGGGAAAGAUUCCAAGUAGCCAAGCUCAUGGGUAGGAAUCCCGGUGUCAACACAAAGGCCCUGGAAGAAUUUAAGAAAUUCGCUCAGCGCAAGGGAUUCCUGAAAGAUGACAUCUUUAUACCCCUGCAGACAGAAAGCUGCAGUCCUGAACCACACUAGGGGCAAGGGACACCUUGUCUCUUCAGAAGCCCCAGAGCAGCACCACUUGGCACCUCUGUCCUGCCCAGGGACUUGAGAAAAUGCACCCCCCAGCCCAGCCAGCUGCCCCCUACCACCACCCCGUUCCCUGUGCCCCCUCUCCUGGUUCUCCAUAAAAA